UUUUUUUUUUUGGUAGGCAUUGGGCUACAGCUCAAGUGAUGUGUUCAUCAAGAGAGUUGUGGCUAAGGGUGGGGACAUCGUUGAAGUAAGCUUUUAUCCCAAUGGUAGUAACCUCUUUAUGUUUUCCUUCAAUUUUACAUUAUUGUUUAAUAAACAAUUUUGGGGGUUAUAUGAUUCAUUUAUGAUUUGUACCCAUCGCCAUUCAUUGUAUUUGAUAGGUACGUGAUGGUAACUUGUUGGUUAAUGGAGUAGUCCAGGAUGAGGACUUUGUGCUGGAGCCGGCUGACUAUGUAAUGGAUCCACUGGUAUGACAACUUCUCUUAUUACAUACUAAAGCACCAUUAUUUGUAGUUUGUACUUUGCUGUAUGUUGACAACAUCUUAGUUAUAUGACAUCAAUCCUAUCUCAAAUAACUUUUGAUUCUGUUAGAGAAGAUGUUAAGAUGUCAAAUAUUUGAUAUGCUGAAAUAGCAUGUUUGACAAAAUUUGAUAAGUUGAAACAUUGAAUUGGCUGCAACCUCAAAUUUGUUCUUGUUUUCUAUCAUGGUUAAUCUCUAUGGCUGGGUCUGUUAUUGGUGGAUCACAUACAAGUAUAGAGCAGUUUUAUCUCUGAAAACUACUCAAAUUUGUUCUUGUUUUCUAUCUUGAUUGAUCUCUAUGGGUUGGGCCUUUUAUUGGUGGAUCGCAUACGGGUAUAAAGCAGUUUUAUCUUCCAAAACUGUAGUAGUGGCACAUGCUAAUUAAUUGUUGUUGCUUGGGCAGAGUGUGCCUGAAGGCUAUGUAUUUGUACUCGGGGACAACAGAAACAACAGCUUUGAUUCGCAUAACUGGUAUGCCAAACUCCUAAUGGAGGAUUGUGCUUCAUAUUUUUAACCCCAAUUUCCACAACAAUAGCUUAUGUGCUGUAUUAUCUCUGCAGGGGACCUCUUCCAAUGAAGAGCAUCCUAGGGAGAUCUGUGCUUCGAUACUGGCCACCAUCGAAAAUAUCAGAUACAAUAUAUGAGCACGAUAUGGCGCAAUUCACUGUCGCUACCUCCUGACAUGCAUUGUGGCAAUGCUGCAUGGAAAAUCCAGCCCCAUUUUUCCUUUUUUCGGCCGAGCUUUACUGACAAGUGAUAAGCUGAGCCACAUUUUGCAUUCUUAUUUAUUAGUUGUCGCCUUGCUGCAGAUGCCCAUUGGCAGCUUGGCUGACAUUAGUUUUACCCUCCUUAUGGGCAGCUGCUCUUUUGAGGGCAACAAUUCUUGUACGCUGUAGCCCUAGAAGAAACCCCCCAGAAUACAUGUUUGUAAAGGCAGAGCAUCACAUGGCAAAUUAUGUUCUGUUUUUGAGACAUGGGGAUGAUGUUCGAAACUUGUGUAAAGGAAAUAGAAAGCAUAAGAUUGCUCACUCUGUAUUAUGAGGCUCAUCAUUCGUGUAUCGGCCAGCAUGGUGCUGAGGGCGACACUAUGGUUUGAUUGAAUUCAUGUUGUAUGGUGUAAAACUUUUGCCCUGCUAGCCAUAUUAUAUUUUGGUGUUCUGGAAUUCUUGAGGUAAUUUAAAUGAGAUCAGUCUGUUUGCUUUUAUAUUUGCGUGCGUUGCAUGGUAUUUCACCUGUUUCGGAUCAUCAAAAUCAUGGUAAUAAACUGGCAGAACUGGAGCACACAUUAGGGGUCUGCAGGGACACGAAUUCAGAAUACAACAUGCAAUGGCAUAGCUGCACGAAGAAUGCACAUGUAACUUAGAAUUACAAGCUGGAAAAAAAUCAACAAUACAGCAUGACUAAAUUUUUUUAGUGAUAUUGCAUGGCUAUAAACUUGAACAAGGAAGGCAGUUAUGAAUCAGAACUCGCAAGGCCCUAAUGACAGCCGUUGCACAAAGGCACUAUGAACAAUGUAAGACGUUACUCACACAGUUGCCAGAAGCAAUACAAAAUUUUAACAAGAUGUUACAGCAUGACCAUUUUUCAGGUACACUUCCAGCCUACUCAAGUAUACACGGAAUCGAGGUAUAUGUGCAAUUUCCUAUCAUCCCUAUGAGAAGCAGACCAGAGCAAAAGCUAUCACCAUUUUACAUCCAGCGACAGAGGUUCUGGUGGUAAUACAAAUGACAUAAACUGUGUGAACGAAACAUUUGAAGUCAGGCUGCCCCAAGAAGUAGUGUCCACUAUAGGGAACGGUUGUCUAACCUUCUUCACUGAAAUAGCCUUCAGCCUAUCGUCAUCUUCCACCCUAGCUACAAUGUCAAGGGUGACUCGCUGGACAAUAGGUAGUGUUUUCCAUUCUGGAACAUCUUUCCAGAUGGGAUCCUCUUCAGUGAUGUCCCUUUCAAGCUCCAAACGGAAUUUCACCAAAGGUAUCGAUGUCACUUUAGCUUCAAUGAAAUGCAUUGAGCUAUUCUCCAUGUUUCUUUUGCUAAACCAACUCUUCAAGAUCCUUUCAAGCUUUAUCAGUCUUGGGCUAAUUGAGCAGAACAAACAUGCUGAGAUCAACCGAUUUGAUACGUUGACUUGACACUUGUCCGGCAAUAACUCCAUGGUGUCAUGUGACCUCAACUCAGUCUUCACAUGGCCUCCAGACACACUGGUUUGAUGCACCACAAUUACAACUGAUCCUACAACACCAACUUGAAGUAGUGGGGCACAAGUUGUGCUCCAAGGCCAUAUUUGGCUGAGGUUGUUGCUACUACUCAGCAAGCUUCCAUUUGCUAAAAGACCUAUACUGUGUGGGUGGGAAAGUGAAACUUUCUGUGCACCGAUGACCUCUAAUCCAACUCCAUCAGCGACUAGUAUCUUCUUCAGCCUUGUAUAAGUGACAUUCCCCUGCACAAGAAGUGCAACAUAAGGUUCUGCAACAAUCAAGGGAAAUAUUACAGUGUGCAUUUUCUAAUACUAAGAGUUGAUGAAAUAUAUGCUGAGUAAAACAGGAUUGCCAUAAGUCUACAAAAGGAAAGACAAAAUUAGCCUAUGGAUGUUUUGUUAUUAAUUCAUAAAAAGAUGCUAGCACAGAAUGUGAAGAGCUAGACCUUACUAAUUUGUUAAAGACUGGGUAACUAUAUACGGCAAACCAAGAAAACCGACAUCAUUUUGUCACAUGCUCAGCGCACGACAAUUGAAAAGUGAGUCUAGUAAGACAAAAUUUGAAAGCGACAUUGAUAGCAAACACUAAAUCAAAUAUGAAAACCUAGCCAGCAAAGUUCUAAAACAAGAUGGAUCGAAGGUGUUGCUCCUGCUGCGGCUGCUACUGCAACUUGUAUACCCUUAUGCAUCAAUAAUACCACGAUGUUAUUAUUCAGUAGUAAGAAACCAAUCAAUAGACUAGCAGAUCAAUCACUUCAGUGAUGCACGCAAAACUACAUUCUUCUAAAAUAAUCAAUAGAUUUCACAGCCGGCCAUCAGUUAGUAACCAAGCAAAUCUAACAUGUCCUGUUCCAUUACACCCAUGACAGCUAGCAAUACCCAGAUUACAUGGCAAGCAAGAACAGAAUGUUUGUUUUCUAUUUCACUGGUCCUUGUCUUAUCUUUUGUUGUUGAGCUACACUCUAAUCCAACUAAAACAAUCAUAAAGAUACAUUCACUUCAACAGUUCAACCAGAAAGCAGGUACUGAAAAGAACGAAGCAUUCAAAAUUUAAAUGUCUAAUAAAACUGCCUUCUAUCUGUAUUCAAUAGUAACAAAUUUCCAUAUGGUGUGUGCCAAUAAGGGUUCGUUUGGCUGUGGCUGAAACAGUUCCAGCUGUGGCUUCUCUCGUGGAGCAGCUUUUUUUAGCUUCAGCUUGUUUGGUUAGAAAAACGUUUGGCAAAAUAGCUUCUCUUCAUUGUUUCAAAUGGAUAAAAAAGUGAAAUGUCCACAAUGUCCUUCAUUUUUUUCUUCCAGUUUUUCUUCUUUUCUUCAUAUUUCUUUUUUUCUCCCCUCCUUUUUUUUCUUCUCUUUCCUUCAUCUCUUCAUCACCCCGUUUCCUUCCUUAUCCACUCGCACCAUCAGCCCCCCAGCGCCUCUGCUCCAUCUCGCACCGCCGGCCCCGGCUCCUUCGCUCCCAGUGCACCAGCCCGCUGGCCUAGCGCCGCCUCCCUCUGGCCCGCACGGAUGCGCCACCUCCCUUCGGCGUGCGCCCCAGCGCCGCCUCCCUCCAACCCGCGCCAAUGCGCCGCCUCCCUCCGGCGCGCGCCCUGUCCCAGCCAUGGAGCUCCACCGCGCCGUUGCUCUGCCCCACGCCUGCUCCCUGCUGUCCUCGGCCAUGGGCCACGGUGGGUAAAAGGGUCACAUGCACCCGCGGUUGAGGAUGAAGCCGCGGGGAGCCAAAUUUUUUGGCUUCUCCCCCACCAAAACGCUCCAGAGAGUGGAUUUCAUGGAGCUCCUGCACUGGAGCCGUUUUGCUUGUGCCCCUUUGGUAGGGCUUCACCAGAAGCCGGUGGAGGAGCCGGUGGUGAAGCCCUGCCAAACGGAGCCAAAUAUUAACAUAAACUUAAAUGCCGACAGUAUGUUGCACUAUGCUUAAAUCACUGUACAUGAGUCCAAUACUAGAUAGCCCCAAUAUAAUCAAGCCAGAACAACACCUUGAACCAACCUGAGUGUUGAUUCUACACAAUUACCUUACCAAAACCAGGGAUCCAUACUGGUUUAACGUUGAACUACUACACACCAGCAAUCAAUGCGAAGUUAUCAGCAACACUAACAACAGGGCGAAAUAUAGAUGCAGAUGUACUUCUACAGUACAAUAGCUGCUGCUAAAUCAACUCAGCUGUUGAACCCCAACCUUGCAGGAUUGUAACUAACACAAUUCCACACCAACCAAACCAAACCCGCAAGCAACUGAUCGGAUGCAAAAUCGGGAGGAGCGACAAGUCAAAGUCAACCCACUCACCGAUGGCAACUGGAGCUCGACGAGGCCGCCAUCCUCAUCGCCAGCGAGCUUCAACUCCACCGGCCCGACCAGCUCCACGUCCCUCACGCCGCGGCUGAACCCAAACGCGCCGUCGCCGGGGACGACGUCGAUCCCGUCCGGUCCGUCCACCUCCUCGACCGCGGGCGAGGUGGGGCGCCUCCACUCCACGGCCUCGUCGGAGAACCGCGCCAGCGCCGCCACCCCGCCCGCCCGCGCCCGAAAAUCGUACCGCUGCACCGCGCCAACGCGGACGGCGUCGGCGUCGAGCGGCCAGACCCUGACCUCGGCGUCCGGGUCCCAGUCGUACUUCUCCGAGACGGCGUCGAUGACCUCCUCGAGGAAGGUGGGCUCCGGGGCCGGGUCCUCCAGCUCCGGGUCCGCGAAGGUGGAGACGGAGGCGUUGAAGGAAUCGGCGAGGAAGGAGAGCGAGGCGGAAGCGGACGGAGACGGGGCGGAGAGGAGCAGCAGCGCGAGGAGGACGAGGGAGGUGAGAGGGAGGGGCGAGGAGGCCAUGGGGGUCGGAGGAUCGGGAAGGUUCUGGAAGGAUUGGAGUUCGAGGAAGAGUAGGUCUCCAGGCCUCCUUCCCCGGAGAGGGGGAUCUCUUCGCGGAGGAGGAAGAGCGGAGACGAUGAAGCCUGGUGGGUGCGCUCGUGGAUGGUUAGAACCGUAUAAGCAAAGGCUGACGUGUGGGCCCGGAAAACAAGAUUGGUUACGGCGUGGCGCCAGCCGUCUGGGCCUUUAUUCCCAUCAGACUCAGUGACGCAACAGUGGGUUACGUAAUUAGGCGGCCAAAGCGCCUUUGCUCGGUUGAGCCAGCUACUCGUAUCGUAAGUAGCGGCACCCAGCAGACGAACGCUAGUAGCGGCAUGUUCCCGGUGGAGAAGGCUUUGCGUAUUUCGUUUUGAAAUGGCCAGAAUUUCGUUGCUACAGACCACGGAAUUACUAAUACCGUCAGUGCUGUUCAGAACACAAAAUACUGCAAUAUUCGACAAUGAAUAAGUAAGAUUGCCCACAGGCAAAACCACAUCCAUCCGCACGAACCAUCAAUGCUCCAAUUUACAAAGGUUUCACAGCUCACUUCAAAAGGGAAACACACUAGCGCUGCAUCCAAUUCCAUCCUCAAUCGGCAACAGAGUACAGACUCCUCCCGCUUGUAGGAGCAAGCCUGCAGGCACACAACCACUCCAGAACUAACAGAACUACAAACAUCCACAGUGCCCUCAUAUUUGAGCUCCAAAAGCGACGAGUUCGGCACACCACAUCAGUUAACUUACAUGUGAAGUUUCUGGGCCACUGGCAAACAAGUCGUUCGCCAAAAUAGGCCGAUUUUCAGAUGAGAACAGGCU
rnacentral:lncRNA from 1 species